rnacentral:rRNA from 1 species
UACGUAGGGUGCGAGCGUUGUCCGGAAUUAUUGGGCGUAAAGAGCUUGUAGGCGGUUUGUCGCGUCUGCCGUGAAAGUCUGGGGCUCAACUCCGGAUCUGCGGUGGGUACGGGCAGACUAGAGUGAUGUAGGGGAGACUGGAAUUCCUGGUGUAGCGGUGAAAUGCGCAGAUAUCAGGAGGAACACCGAUGGCGAAGGCAGGUCUCUGGGCAGUAACUGACGCUGAGGAGCGAAAGCGUGGGGAGCGAACAGG